UCUCGCAUCGAUGAAGAACGUAGCGAAAUGCGAUACUUGGUGUGAAUUGCAGAAUCCCGUGAACCAUCGAGUCUUUGAACGCAAGUUGCGCCCGAAGCCAUUAGGCCGAGGGCACGUCUGCCUGGGCGUCACGCAUCGCGUCGCCCCCCCCGCACGCCGCAGGGC
rnacentral:rRNA from 1 species